rnacentral:sRNA from 1 species
GGGAGAUUGAUUUAGCUCUCUAAAUAGGCGUAUCCUUUCCCAUCACCCUUUGUAUCUUUUAUGAUGUUUUGCUUUCAGCUGAAGAGGAUGACCUUCCACAAAGAAGAAGGAUCAUUCUUUGAUCAAGGAUUUGUGAAGAACUCUGGUUUCUCACUAGAUCUCCCAAAUAAUUGUUCUUCCCACAUCUCCUAAAACUGGAUUUCAGUACCAAAUGCAGUAGUAGAUUGUGUACAGACAUAUGGGUUUGUGUGUGUGUGUGU